CCUACGGGUGGCAGCAGUGAGGAAUAUUGGUCAAUGGACGAGAGUCUGAACCAGCCAAGUAGCGUGAAGGAUGACUGCCCUAUGGGUUGUAAACUUCUUUUAUAUGGGAAUAAAAUGUUCCACGUGUGGGAUUUUGUAUGUACCAUAUGAAUAAGGAUCGGCUAACUCCGUGCCAGCAGCCGCGGUAAUACGGAGGAACCGAGCGUUAUCCGGAUUUAUUGGGUUUAACGGGAGCGUAGGUGGAUUGUUAAGUCAGUUGUGAAAGUUUGCGGCUCAACCGUAAAAUUGCAGUUGAAACUGGCAGUCUUGAGUACAGUAGAGGUGGGCGGAAUUCGUGGUGUAGCGGUGAAAUGCUUAGAUAUCACGAAGAACUCCGAUUGCGAAGGCAGUUCACUGGACUGCAACUGACACUGAGGCUCGAAAGUGUGGGUAUCAAACAGGAUUAGAUACCCUAGUAGUC
rnacentral:rRNA from 1 species